ACAAACACACUGACGCUGCAACCUGUCGGGACAGUUUGUUCAUGUUGGAGUUUAUGUAGGGGUUGUAUGGUGUGUGUAGGGGUUGUUAGGUGUGUGUAGGGAUUAUUAAGUGUGUGUAGGGGUCGUUGAUGUGUGUAAGGGUUGUAUGGUGUGUGUGUAGGGAUUAUUAAGUGUGUGUAGGUGUUGUAUGGUGUGUGUGUAGGGAUUAUUAAGUGUGUGUAGGGGUUGUUAGGUGUGUGUAGGGAUUAUUAAGUGUGUGUAGGGAUUGUAUGAUGUGUGUAGGGGUCGUUGGUGUGUGUAGGGGUUGUUAGGUGUGUGUAGGGAUUAUUAAGUGUGUGUAGGGAUUAUUAAGUGUGUGUAAGGAUUGUAUGGUGUGUGUAGGGGUUGAGAGGUGUGUGUAGGGAUUAUUAAGUGUAUGUAGGGGUCGUUGGUGUGUGUAGGGGUCGUUGGUGUGUGUAGGGGUUGUUAGGUGUGUGUAGGGGUUGUUAGGUGUGUGUGUGGGGGUUGUAUGGUGUGUGUAGGGAUUAUUAAGUGUGUGUGUAGGGAUUGAUAGGUGUGUGUAGGGAUUAUUAGGUGUGUGUAGGGGUUGUUAGGUGUGUGUGUGGGGGUUGUAUGGUGUGUAGGGAUUAUUAAGUGUGUGUAGGGGUUGUUAAGUGUGUGUAGGGAUUAUUAAAUGUGUGUAGGGAUUAUUAAGUGUGUGUAGGGAUUAUUAAGUGUGUGUGUAGGGGUUGUUAGGUGUGUGUAGGGAUUAUUAAAUGUGUGUAGGGAUUAUUAAGUGUGUGUAGGGAUUAUUAAGUGUGUGUAAGGGUUGAUAGGUGUGUGUAGGGGUUGAUAGGUGUGUGUGUAGGGGUUGAUAAGUGUGUGUGUAGGGGUUGUAUGGUGUGUGUGUGUGUGUGUGUGUGUGU
ensembl:lncRNA